AUACUUACCUGGCACAGGAGAUUACGUGAUCACGAAGGCGGUUUUCCCGGGCGAGGCUCACCAUUGCACUCCGUGGUGCUAGACCCCUGCGAUAACCCAAAUGUGGUUAACUCGAGUGUGCAAUUAAUGGCAGCCGGGGGACUGCGUUUUCGCGCUAUCCCCCU